rnacentral:rRNA from 1 species
AACGAACGCUGGCGGCAGGCCUAACACAUGCAAGUCGAGCGCGCAGCAAUGUGAGCGGCAGACGGGUGAGUAACGCGUGGGAACCUUCCCAAUGGUACGGAAUAGCUCAGGGAAACUUGAGGUAAUACCGUAUACGCCCGAGAGGGAAAGAUUUAUCGCCAUUGGAUGGGCCCGCGUAGGAUUAGCUAGUUGGUGAGGUAACGGCUCACCAAGGCGACGAUCCUUAGCUGGUCUGAGAGGAUGAUCAGCCACACUGGGACUGAGACACGGCCCAGACUCCUACGGGAGGCAGCAGUGGGGAAUAUUGGACAAUGGGCGCAAGCCUGAUCCAGCCAUGCCGCGUGAGUGACGAAGGUCUUCGGAUUGUAAAGCUCUUUUGGCGGGGACGAUAAUGACGGUACCCGCAGAAUAAGCCCCGGCUAACUUCGUG